GUUACAUUACCUUUCUCCUCAGAAGCCAUCCCAGAAUGGCUUCCAUAUCGUCUCUCCCAGAGCAGGAUCUCUCCUGUCCUGUUUGUCUUCAAGAAUCCUGUCAACCUGAGGAAGAGGUUGUGAAAAUCAUCCUAACGUGGCCUUGAGAAACCAGUGUGAGGCCUUCUCACCGUCCCAGCUAGAAACUCAGAGGACGUUUGAGAUGUUCUGCAGUCUGCACGGAGAGAAAUUCAAGCUCUUCUGUCUGGAGGAUAAACAGCCUGCCUGUGUGGUGUGGCAGACUGCCAAACUACACACCAACCAUACUACACACCAACCAUACUUCACACCAACCAUACUACACACCAACCAUACUACACACCAAC
ensembl:lncRNA